rnacentral:rRNA from 1 species
GAUGAACGCUGGCGGCGUGCCUAACACAUGCAAGUCGAGCGAACAGACGCGGAACUUUCUCCUCUGACGGUAGCGGCGGGAGUGAGACUACGACACGUAUAACCUACCGAUAGGUCUGGGAUAACUUCGGGAAACCGGAGCUAAUACGAGAUAAUAUAUUGAACCGCAUGGUUCAAUAGCUCACGCCGGUUUUGCUGUCACUUUUAGAUUGAUCGGCGCCGCAUUAGCUAGUUGGUAAGGUAACGGCUUACCAAGGCGACGAUGCGUAGCCGAACUGAGAGGGUGAUCGGCCACACUGGGACUGAGACACGGUCCAGACUCCUACGGGAGGCAGCAGUAGGGAAUCUUCCGCAAUGGGCGAAAGCCUGAUGGAGCAACGCCGCGUGAGUGAUGAAGGUCUUCGGAUCGUAAAACUCUGUUAUUAGGGAAGAACAGGUGUUUAAGUAACUAUGCAGGUAUUGACGGUACCGAAAGAGAAAGCACCGGCUAACUACGUG